rnacentral:piRNA from 1 species
UGAAAAUGCUCCCAAAUGCUGGAGACCUCA